CAAAAAUUAUUUGUUUUCACUUUUAAGAAGGGGAAGUGGUUAACUUACAUUAAAGUGACAGUGUUGUUGAAUGUCAAAUUAAUUUUAUAAGAUCUUGUAUCUUCCUUAGGUAUCUCAAAACAUUAUUUUCGAAAUUAUUUUAAUUGUUACUUUUAAAAAUGAUAUGGAUGUUGCUGCUGGAUCCUUAAGGCAGGGCUUGUCACAGUAUGAGAGAGUUGGUGUGGUGAGCCCACAGGAAUCCAGCAGUGACAUAGAGCCGCCUU